AUGCCAAAGUUCCUUCUUCAUGCCUGGGAAUCAUGGAGUCGAUGUGGGCACGAGGAGCUCCUUGAUCGGAAACUGGCUGAUCCUGAAGGUGAGCUCUUGGCAGGGCUAGCCAGAUGCAUCCAGAUUGGCCUUCUCUGCGUGCAGCAAUCGCCCGAGGACAGGCCUGCCAUGUCUCAAGUUGUGGCAAUGCUAACCAGCACCGACUCACAGCUCACUACUCCAAAGGAACCCACCGCCAACAUGGGAGCUGGCCCUAGCUUACAACUAAUCUCAGAUGAUACCCCUAGACCAAGCCGGACCUCUAUCAGCCUAAAACUUACUAGCAGUCUGGGACUUGCGGCCUGA
rnacentral:rRNA from 1 species